rfam:Felis catus isolate Cinnamon breed Abyssinian chromosome F2, whole genome shotgun sequence.
GCCUGGGUGGCUCAGUCGGUUAAGCGUCCGACUUCAGCUCGGGUCAUGAGCUCACGGUUCGUGGGGUCGAGUCCUGUGUCAGGCU